CUUGUAGACUCACUUUUCGCAUGACCCACGUUUCUCAUGAUCUGCUUACCUUGAUCCGCAAUUCGGCGUGGACUAGAAGGAACUCCGAAGAUGCCAUCUAUGAUGUUAACGAUUUUCUAUAUGUAGCACCGUGAGAUUAUGAAAUGGUGGUCAUAUUACUAAGUCUUUAGAUGCCAGUUGGAGUUGGAUUGCCUAGUUAUCAUUAGCAUUCAUGGGUACCAUUUAUGCCCUAUUCAAUAAAUAUUUCAGCGAUUCUAUAAUGGAAUAUUUAGAUCAACCUAGGCUCAGCUUUAAAUGACGGGAUGAAUAUCAACGGCUAAAUUUAUAAACGGAUACCAACCCGAUUGCUGCGAACUCACGGAUGUAAAAUUGUCUGGUAAUGCAAAUCAUCGACAAGUCCAUGAUGAAACGACUUUCUAUUUUUUUUUUACUUCUAUUAACGUCAUUUAAUGUCCAACUCUUCUAGGAAAUCCCCAAAUUCGAAUAUUCAAUAAGGUAAUGGGGUGCGAUGUUUUUAGUUGAUUCACAUUGGAAAUAUUUCAAUUCGAGAUAUGAAAAACCAUUGAUAGAAACAGAUAGAGUAGAAGUUAUUGCUUGAUGCAACAAAAUUUGAAGAUUUGUUAAUUUACAGAUUUGCUAUUCUACAAAGUCUCAUCCCUACAAGCAGAAAUGGAUCUGAAUAGCGAUCGCUUUAGUUAGGUCAUAAGAUCGGCAGUCUAAACGUUGACCGCACAUGGCUACAUUGUAGCCUUUAUAUUCUUUCUUUCUAUUCCAGUUAUAAGCUGAUACAGUAGAUCUUGAAUUUCAUCAGUUUGUCAAAAUAUCUCUCUCGUUUUAUCAUACUUUACAAACCCAAAACACAAACAUAAGAAACUGCACUGAACUAAAUGCAAAGCUAUAAGGUAUUGUAACAAGCUCACAAUGUGAUAUAUAACCAUUUCGACAGAGUUAUUAAGAGAUACAUUAUUUUACACUUUGUUUAAGAGUUCCCG